rnacentral:tRNA from 2 species
ACUUAUAUAGUAUAAAAGUAUAUAUGACUUCCAAUCAUAAGGACUAAAUUAAAUUUAGUAUAAGUA